UCCUACGGGGGGCAGCAGUGAGGAAUAUUGGUCAAUGGGCGCAAGCCUGAACCAGCCAUCCCGCGUGCAGGAAGACGGCGCUAUGCGUUGUAAACUGCUUUUCCAGGGGGAGAAACUUGCGCACGUGUUGCGCAAUUGACGGUACCCUGGGAAUAAGCAUCGGCUAACUCCGUGCCAGCAGCCGCGGUAAUACGGAGGAUGCAAGCGUUAUCCGGAUUCAUUGGGUUUAAAGGGUGCGUAGGCGGACUAUUAAGUCAGUGGUGAAAUCCUGCAGCUUAACUGCAGAACUGCCAUUGAUACUGAUAGCCUUGAGUUUGGUUAAGGUAGGCGGAAUGUGUAAUGUAGCGGUGAAAUGCUUAGAUAUUACACAGAACACCAAUUGCGUAGGCAGCUUACUGAGCCGACACUGACGCUGAGGCACGAAAGCGUGGGGAUCAAACAGGAAUAGAUACCCGGGUAGUC
rnacentral:rRNA from 1 species